AAGAGUUAAAGAGUUUUUUAACUAUUUCUUAUGAAUAAAUAUAUAGCAGAUUCAUGAAAGAAAAUCGCUAAAAUCUGUUGUUGGGUUAUUGGUUGUUGAAAUUUGUUGUAUUUGAUCUAUCAUUAACAAGGAAGGGAUUGAAUGCUCAUGGCUUAAAAAUUAUUGAAGUUUUUCUCAUGAAUUUGUAAUGAAGUUUGGCUUUUUUUCUCUAUUGUCAUUUGAGGGCUAGAAUGUUAUUGGUGGUAGAAAAUUUUGGGCGCAUUUUAGAUUGAAAAUCAUUCAGUCGUUUGAUCUAAAUUGAUUGCUCAUGGCUUAAGAAUUAUUGAAGUUUUUCUUUUAAAUUUGUUAUGGAGUUUGCCUUUUGUUCCCUAUUGUCUAUUGCCAUUUUAGGGCUAGAAUGUUCUUAGUGGCAGGAAAUUUUGGGUUUUUUUUAGAUUGAAAAUUAUUCAGUCAUUUGAUCUCAAUUGACUGCUCAUGGCUUAAGAAUUAUUGUAGCUUUUUUUAUUAAAUUGUUAUGGAGUUUGUCAUUUUUUCUCUAUUGUGAUUUUAGGGCUUGAAUGUUCUUAGUUGUAGUAAAUUUUGGGUUUGUUUUGCUGUAUCUGUUUUCUCAUGGUUAUCUUUGCAUCAAUUGUUUAUUAUUUGAUGAUCGAUGUUCAAAUUUAGUUUGUCAUUAAAAAAAACAAAAAAGCCUAGCUCUUGUUAAUAUUAGUAGUAGCUCUUUAGAAAAAAAAAAAACACAAACCCAAAAACAGAUUUUAGGAUGGUCUAUAUUUCUAGUUGUAUAUAUUGUCCUUAUCUAUAUUGUUAGAUUGAACUAUAGCUUAGAGAAAUGGUAUUGCUUAACUAUAGCAUAGAGAAAUAGUAUUGUUUAUAUACUAGAAAUUUAAGAAGAGGUUUUUUUUUAAUUUCAAAUGCAUUCGAAUUCACAUCUAUAAAGUCAUUUAGUUUUGUUUCAUUUCGCAAAAGAAAGGCAUUGUGCUAGUUUAACUUGGAUAUGAACUAGUUUUUACUUUGUAGAAUAUUGAAUUGCAUGUUCAUCUUAAAAGUUGGGUCCUCUUUUGAGGAUCUUUAUUUCAAGACUACUUUCCAUAAUUUACUAAAAAAUUCAUAAAUUAAUAGGUUAAAAUCGUUAAGAUUGUAGUAUUUAAGUAAUCAUUGUUAUAAAUGUUUUUGUAGGUUAUAUCCCCCCAACAAUAUGUCUACCUACCUCUUGUUAAAAUUUAGAUGUAACUCUUUUAAAAAGAUCUAGAUUGAGCCUACCAAACUUGAGCAAGUUCAAUGUGUGGAAUGUAAAUUAUUACAAAUCUUGCGCAGGACAAAAGAAAAUGAGUGAUAGCAGAUUGAUUUAUUGUAUUUUUUGUAGAGAACUCCAAUCAAAUGUCGAUGAGACUUUAGAUUAUAUUGGUGGUGAUGGAUGUACAUUUAUGAUUGACAAUAGAACUAAGUUAGAUGACUUGCGAAAAUACGUAGCAGAGAAUUUCUCAUUAGACAUGCACUUGAUAUCAUUGAGGUAUUUUGUCUCAAGAAAAAGAAGAUUUAUUGUGAAUCUAUUCAUUAACGAUGAUAUUAAGAGGAUAUUGAACGCACAUGAAGGCGAGAAUAAUGUGUUCGAGUGAACAAAGGGGUGGAAGUACUUCACAUAAUACUAGGGCAAUCGAAGAGGUCAGAUCCCCCCAAUCCUCUAAUGUUUUGGUCUUUGGUUUCGAACAAAGCAAUGCACCAAGAUUGCUUAGUCCAUGGGAAGAUGCACUUAUCGAUAUAGGGCAGCAAUUUGAAUCGCUAGAUGACUUCGGAAAAGCCCUUAGCAAGUUUGCUAUAGCACACCAUUUCACAUAUCGUCUUGUUAAAAGUGAGGGGUAUCGCAUAAAGGGCGAAAUGCAAUGGCGACAUAUGCAAAUGGGAGAUAUAUGCUUCGAAGUUUGGCAGGACGAAUGUUUUUAGCAUCAAAACAUGGAAAAGAGAACACUCAUGUAAUAUUGAGACAAGCAAUGAUGUACAGAGAAGAGUGUCCCAAAAAUUUGGUGCAUCAUUAAUCAAGGAUAAAGUAAGUGACACUGCGCAUUAUAAGGCUAAAGAAAUUAUGAAUGAUUUGUCUCAAGAUUAUGUGUUAGAAAUACCUUUACAAGGCUUGGCGAAGGAAAGAAACAGCCAUCAAAGACAUACAUGAUUCGCAAGAGGAAGCAUACACAACUAGUUACUCACAUAUAUAAAGCAUGUGAUGGAGACGAAUCCUGGUAGUUAUGCGACAGGACAAGUAUGACAAGAUGGUAAAUUUCGUUGAACGUUUUUAAGUAUUUAUGGCUCAAUAUAUGGCUUCAAAAGUGGAUGUCAUCCACUUCUAUUUCUCGAUGGGACAUCAUUGAAGGCACAAUACCUUGAGCAUUAACUCACUUGAUGGAGAAGAACAAAUGUUUCUCGUUGCAUUCGAUAUUGUGGAUGCCGAAAGUAUCGAAAUUGGUUAUGGUUUAUAGAAUCUCUAAAGAUUGCUAUUGGGACAGAUUGUGAAAUCAUUUUUUUGUCAGAUAGACACCCUGGUCUAGUUGAUACUGUCUGUCAAGUAUUUUAGAAUGUCCAUCAUGCCUUCUGUAAGCGUCAUUUAGCAGAGAAUUUCAAGAAGGAAGUAAAAGACAUACCUAAUGAUUUCAAGAAAGCAGUUGUAAAAUACUUUAUCGGAGCAUGUAGAGCAUACAGGCCACAAGAGUAUUUUGAGAAGGUAAUUGAAAUUAGAUCAAUUUCUGAUUACGCAUUUAAAUAGUCAAUGGAAGCAUCGCCAGAUCGUUGGGCCACAUCACUCUUCAGGGAUAAAUGAUAUAACCAAGUAACAACUAAUGUGGCUGAGUCAUAUAAAAAGUAGAUUCUAUAAGUUUAAUGUGGCUAAGUCAUAUAAAAAGUAGAUUCUAGAACUACGAGACAUGUCAAUUUUCCAAUGCGUUGACUUGAUUAGAUGACAAAUCAUGAAACUAAUGGCCACCUGCAGCUUGGAAGCUGAAACUCGGACUACAACACUAAUCCCACACACUCAAAAUGAACUAAGAAAUAUCAUAAAGCAAUUCAUUUCUAUUAGGGUCACUGUAUACAGUGGAGCAGUGUUUGAAGCAAUGGGUGAUCACAUGAAUUAUAACAGGUUUGCCCUGCAAGCAUGCUUGUGAAAGCCUUCAAUGGAUGAAUAGGGAUCUCAUUGACUAUUGUGACGACUAUUUCACGGUUGCAAAGUUUCGUGAAAUAUAUUUCGAUCCUAUAGUGUCAGAUACCUUGAUCAAUCUAUCUGGGCGUAUGCAUGGACAACUUCCUUCAAAUGGAAUAAAAGUACUACCUCACUCAAGACGACCCCCUGCCUUACCUAAAAAGAAGCUCAUUGAGUCGCAGAAAGUACCCGUGCAACCUAUUCACUGUAGUCAGUGCAAAGGAACUGGUCACAACAGGACAACAUGUAAAGUACCCACUUGAAGACAUAUAUUUGUACUUAUCUUCUUUAUUCUGUCUUUUUAUAUUGUAGCACCUACUCAUGGGAAAUUUUAUUAUUCAUAUAUUAAUGGUGUUUGUUUAUAGUAUUUGUUUCUCUUGUGUUCAUUUCCCACUAUUAGCGCACAUAUAUUUAUGUUUGUUUCUUUUCUAUUGGAGCACCUACUCUUGGGAAAUUCUGCUAUUACAUAAAUUAAUGUUGUUUGUUCCAUUUGUGUUCAUUUCAUACUAUUGGCGUACAUAUAUUAUAUUUGAUUCUUUUCUGUCUCUUUUUUAAUAUGAUAUGCCACUUUUCUCUCUCUCUUUAUUGGAUAUGCUACUUGUGGUUUUUUUUUUAUACCAAUUAUAAAAAUAGAAUUAGCAAUGCAAGACUCGGAACAACCAAGAGGCACAGGGUAGUCAUCCACUUCGUCAGGUCCAAGGUAAGAGGUACGAUGGUCUAUUUGUUUUAGUUAAUGAUUUACAUUAAUUAAGUAUUUCUCAUAUUAUUGACUAUAAUCAUGUCUUAUUAAUUUUCAUUUUAGGACAGAAAUAUACUUCGUAUUGACGAAUCAACUCAAGCCCUAGCAAAAUGGAAACUCAAUCAACAACAUGUAUUUUUUAUUCAAAAGAUUGGAUUGAGCCCAUUGAUGGAUAUUGGGUUCUCGCAUAUCGAUUGCAAUCUACUGAGGGCAUUUAUAGAGAAAUGAUGCAAUGACACAAAUACUGCAUAUCUAACCAUCGGUGAAAUGGCUCCAACCCAAUACGAUGUGUGGCAGAUAUUAAGGUUACUCGUGACAGGCCAACCUGUAACCGGCAUCAGGCUUAAAACCUAUGUUGCUUUUGUCAAGGAGUAUCUAGGAGAUUACCUUAAAGACGUCACCCCGAUGCAUCUUAAUCAUACAUGGUUGAAGAGAAAAUUUGACCAACUACCAAAAAAGCCUACCAAAUUACAAUUCACGCAAUACAUACUAGCGUAUCUCUUUUAUUUACUCGGCACAACUAUAUUUGCCAACUCAUCUAAAGGAUCGACGCUUACAAUGUACCUGCAAUUGUUUUGAGAUUUCGAUGAGGUAGGAAAGUAUGUAUGGGGUGUUGCAGUGCUUGUUUUCUUGUAUUGUUCCUUGUCUAAGGUCGCAUGCGGGGAAAAGAAUCAUUUUAGUGGGUCAGUGACCUUACUAUAGGUAUUUCUCACUAUCUUUAUAGCUCAUAUUUACAAUAUUACAAUUUCUUUGGCUUCUUUUUCUAAAGUGUUGGAUCUAUGAGCAUUUUUUAGCUCUAGCCACCAAGCUUACAAUGGUCAUCAACCUAGGAAUGCCUAGAGCUUGCAUGUGGAAGAAACAACCAUGCCACAAAGACAUCAUUUGAUAACAUCUCAUUUGAUAUGGUGACCUCGUAAUCAUAUGAGGAG